CUUGACCGAGCCGAGCCACAGCGGCCGGUCCCGCCGUGCGCCGUAGGUCGCCAGGAGCGCGUGCGCCUC
rnacentral:antisense_RNA from 1 species